rnacentral:rRNA from 1 species
AACGAACGCUGGCGGCAUGCCUAACACAUGCAAGUCGAACGAGACCUUCGGGUCUAGUGGCGCACGGGUGCGUAACGCGUGGGAACCUGCCCUUAGGUUCGGAAUAACUCCCCGAAAGGGGUGCUAAUACCGGAUAAUGUCUUCGGACCAAAGAUUUAUCGCCUUUGGAUGGGCCCGCGUUGGAUUAGCUAGUUGGUAGGGUAAAAGCCUACCAAGGCGACGAUCCAUAGCUGGUCUGAGAGGAUGAUCAGCCACACUGGGACUGAGACACGGCCCAGACUCCUACGGGAGGCAGCAGUGGGGGAUAUUGGAAAAUGGGCGAAAGGCUGAUCCAGCAAUGCCGCGUGAGUGAUGAAGGCCUUAGGGUUGUAAAGCUCUUUUACCCGGGAUGAUAAUGACAGUACCGGGAGAAUAAGCUCCGGCUAACUCCGUG